rnacentral:rRNA from 1 species
GGCUCAGGAUGAACGCUAGCGGCAGGCUUAAUACAUGCAAGUACGUGGGGCGAGCAGGUUUGUAGCAAUACAGAUGCUGGCGACCGGCAAACGGGUGCGGAACACGUACAGAACCUUCCUUUGAGCGGGGAAUAGCCCAGAGAAAUUUGGAUUAAUACCCCAUAGUAUAAUGAAGUGGCAUCACUUUAUUAUUAAAGAUUUAUCACUCGAAGAUGGCUGUGCGGCUGAUUAGGUAGUUGGCGGGGUAAAGGCCCACCAAGCCUGCGAUCAGUAACUGGUGUGAGAGCACGACCAGUCACACGGGCACUGAGACACGGGCCCGACUCCUAUGGGAGGCAGCAGUAAGGAAUAUUGGUCAAUGGAGGCAACUCUGAACCAGCCAUGCCGCGUGGAGGAUGAAGGUCCUCUGGAUUGUAAACUUCUUUUAUAUGGGACGAAAAAGGCUUUCUAAGUCGUCUGACGGUACCAUAUGAAUAAGCACCGGCUAACUCCGUG